UACGAAGGGGGCUAGCGUUGCUCGGAAUUACUGGGCGUAAAGCGCACGUAGGCGGACCGAUAAGUCGGGGGUGAAAUCCUGGAGCUCAACUCCAGAACUGCCUUCGAAACUGAAGAUCUUGAGUUCGGGAGAGGUGAGUGGAACUGCGAAGUGUAGAGGUGAAAUUCGUAGAUAUUCGCAAGAACACCAGUGGCGAAGGCGGCUCACUGGCCCGAUACUGACGCUGAGGUGCGAAAGCGUGGGGAGCAAACAGG
rnacentral:rRNA from 1 species